UUGAUCUCUUUUCUUUCGUUUGUUCAUUCAAAGUUGGUAAAAAGAACGCGCCAACCUUCAAAUUUGACCUCUUCUAUAUAGUUUUUGUUUAUUACAUUUAGUCAUUUACGUGACUAGCGGCUUAUUUUACAGUUGUUAAUAGAAGUAGAAAGAAACUCACCAAAAGUCAAAAGAGUCCUAUCCGUACUUUUAUUCUCCCCAUGUCUCACUAUUUGAAUGUGUCAAACUUUGUAGUAUUGUUAAGUAUUUGGUUUUAACCAAUUCUUUGGUUUACAACAUUGCCGACUGAACCUGUCACACAUGUCCUUUUAUGUUAAUGAUUCUUUUACACCAUAUGAAUUAAAAAAAAUAAGGAUUACUGAGUCUCAUUGCUCUGUUUUUCUUAAGUAUUGUGUUAUGUGAUCUUUCUCCUCUUUGAAGAUGUGUCCAAAAGAAAGAGACUUUUGAGAUCUUUGCUCUGUUUUUUUGUUGCUUUCUCUUCACGAACUAUGCAAAAAGACAUCAAGAAAGAAAAACCAAAAACGUUUUAGUCACCCAAACAAACUCAAUCUCAUCCGACAAAGUUAGAGGAACGAAAAUAUUAAAUUGUAAAAUGAAAUGAAAAUAAAUGGAGAAGGUGGAGAGUUGUGAGAAGGACAGGUGAAUCUACCAAUAAUCUCCUGCCUUAGAAGAAUGGGUCACAUGGAGUUUGGU
rnacentral:lncRNA from 1 species